rnacentral:lncRNA from 1 species
AAGGUACGAUAUAUUACAACCAUAGUUUGAAACAACUUAAUCAUGCAGGUCAGUGUGGUUCUAAGAAUUUAAAACCAGUCUGGAAGAAAAACAAUUAUUUAAGUUUCAAUCUAGAGUAUCAUGAGACUCAUAAGAUACCCUAGGUCUUCGGGGCUUCCUCUUCGGUGAGUCCCUGCUGGCUUUCUGAAAACAACAACAAGGGAUCCCCUGAGUACGAAGUACUCAGCAAGUCUUACCCGACUAACCAAUAUAAUAGUUUUCUUUGGAAUGCAUGUCAGCCUUUGGGUGUGCUUGGUUGACACAAUUUUUGCCGAAAAAGCUUACUACGAGUGAGGCCUUAGUUUUAUCUUUUAUUUUAGUUAAGUCAUUACCUAACCAUUCUAGAUGAUAACAGAAGUAAAAGCAACCACAGCUGUUAAGUCAUACAUUACUUGACAACAGGAGAUUUUAUAUCACAUGAGUUAUACUACGAUGCUCAACAGUGAUCAAGUGCAUUCAUAACCGAGAAUUGCGGCGAUCCGGAUCAAUUUACAUCCUGCAGGAGAG